AUCCAUAAUUUUUAUCACCAAAACUGCUCUUCAAAACUUCUAAUGAAGAGCAAUCAUUUAUGAACCAUUUGUCAGUCAAUCUUGUAUGAAACACAGGAAGCUAAACCAUCAGCGAGAUGCACUGAUGCUAUAAGAUCAUCUUUUUCUCUGUGGGUGGAUCAUAAAUAAUGA